UACGUAGGGGGCAAGCGUUGUCCGGAUUUAUUGGGCGUAAAGAGCGUGUAGGCGGCCAGAUAGGUCUGUUGUGAAAACUCGAGGCUCAACCUCGAGACGCCGAUGGAAACCAUCGUGGCUAGAGUCCGGAAGAGGAGAGUGGAAUUCCUGGUGUAGCGGUGAAAUGCGCAGAUAUCAGGAAGAACACCCGUGGCUAAGGCGGCUCUCUAGUACGGUACUGACGCUGAGACGCGAAAGCGUGGGGAGCGAACAGG
rnacentral:rRNA from 1 species